rnacentral:lncRNA from 1 species
UCCACUCUUGUAGGUCAAAUUUGAGGUGUUUUUCCUAACACCAUGGCCAAUGUUAGUUGCGUAUAUUUUGGAUCAAGAUUUUAAACCUAGGCUUCUCAUAAAGAUAAGUUUCUUUAGGAUGAUAAGGGAAGAUGGAAGAAAGGAGUUUGGAUACCUGGGAUAAAAAAUCGGACCUAAUAUACAAAGAUUAGAGGCUUUCUGAAUCAGUACCC